UACGGAAGGUCCGGGCGUUAUCCGGAUUUAUUGGGUUUAAAGGGAGCGUAGGCCGUCUGGUAAGCGUGUUGUGAAAUGUCGGGGCUCAACCUGGGCAUUGCAGCGCGAACUGUCAGACUUGAGUGCGCGGGAAGUAGGCGGAAUUCGUCGUGUAGCGGUGAAAUGCUUAGAUAUGACGAAGAACUCCGAUUGCGAAGGCAGCCUGCUGUAGCACAACUGACGCUGAAGCUCGAAAGCGUGGGUAUCGAACAGG
rnacentral:rRNA from 1 species